ensembl:tRNA
GCCUGCGUAGUAUAGUGGUUAGUACUCCACGUUGUGGCCGUGGCGACGCUGGUUCGAUUCCAGCCGCAGGCA